AAAUGUCCUCAGUGUUCCCAUUCAGGAACCUGGUGUGCAUCUGUUGUCACAGCCCUCUCGGGGGCAGUCCCCUUGCACUGUGACAGCAGGUGGCAUUGUCCUCCCUGAGGGAUAUUGGCAUCCCAUUCUGUGGCCUUUGCAAUCGUCGAGAUUCUAGUUGUUCAAGCUGUGAUUUUCCUUCCAGCGUGUGCGCUCUCCCGCCAUGUAAGCCUGUCCGCACCAGCGCUGCGCGCUGCUGUGAAGGUAGAAAUUGCCCUUCCUUGCUCCUCUGGUGAUUUUGAACCAUGGCCGACAUAACAUCAUUGGAAGAAGGAGACUCUUAGAGAGAAACCCCACCCGUCCUUUCAUGUGCAGGGAACUCCUAAGUGAGUUCGCUGCUUCUGGGUUUUUCCCGGAGACGUUCUUGAACAGGUCCCCCAGGAGCACUGCGCCGCGCCCUUCCUGACGGCAAAAACAAACCAGGUCCAAGAGGAGAAGGAAGUGUUUUAAAUGCCAUCUCAUUGCCUCUGGGUUCAUUUUAUGGAUAUAAAGAACGUUGCCGAGUUUAAGAAGAUGAGUUAAUUAAGAAAUUAUAAUUCUCAGAAAGCCUCUUGACAUAAUUAAAA